AGGCCACUGCUAUCAGAGUUCGAUUAAGCCAUGCGAGUCGAGAGGUGCAAGACCUCGGCAUACUGCUCAGUAACACGUGGACAAUCUAACCUACGGAGGGGGAUAACCCCGGGAAACUGGGGAUAAUACCCCAUAGACUAUGGAUGCUGGAAUGCUUUGUAGUCCAAAGGUGAGCCGCCAUAGGAUGGGUCUGCGGCCGAUUAGGUUGUUGUUGGGGUAAUGGCCCAACAAGCCUGUAAUCGGUACGGGUUGUGGGAGCAAGAGCGAGAUGGAUUCUGAGACACGAAUCCAGGCCCUACGGGGCGCAGCAGGCGCGAAAACUUUACAAUGCGGGAAACCGUGAUAAAGGAACUCCGAGUGCCCGUUAAAUCGGGCUGUCCAUCUGUUUAAAUAACAGGUGAAGAAAGGGCCGGGCAAGACCGGUGCCAGCCGCCGCGGUAAUACCGGCGGCUCGAGUGGUGGCCACUAUUACUGGGCUUAAAGCGUUCGUAGCUGGUCUGUUAAGUCUCUGGGGAAAUCUACCGGCUUAACCGGUAGGCGUCUCAGGGAUACUGGCAGACUAGGGACCGGGAGAGGUGAGAGGUACUCCAGGGGUAGGAGUGAAAUCCUGUAAUCCCUGGGGGACCACCUGUGGCGAAGGCGUCUCACCAGAACGGCUCCGACAGUGAGGGACGAAAGCUGGGGGAGCAAACCGGAUUAGAUACCCGGGUAGUCCCAGCUGUAAACGAUGCGCGUUAGGUGUAUCGGUGACCACGAGUCACCGAGGUGCCGAAGAGAAAUCGUGAAACGUGCCGCCUGGGAAGUACGGUCGCAAGGCUGAAACUUAA
rnacentral:rRNA from 1 species